UACGUAGGGUGCAGGCGUUAAUCGGAAUUACUGGGCGUAAAGCGUGCGCAGGCGGUUUGCUAAGACAGGUGUGAAAUCCCCCGGGCUUAACCUGGGAACUGCGCUUGUUACUGGCAAGCUGGAGUGUGGCAGAGGGGGGGUGGAAUUCCGACGUGUAGCAGUGAAAUGCGUAGAGAUGUGGAGGAACACCGAUGGCGAAGGCAGCCCCCUGGGCUAACACUGACGCUCAUGCACGAAAGCGUGGGGAGCAAACAGG
rnacentral:rRNA from 1 species